UACGAAGGGGGCUAGCGUUGCUCGGAAUUAUUGGGCGUAAAGCGCACGUAGGCGGCUUAGCAAGUCGGAUGUGAAAUCCCUCGGCUCAACCAAGGAAGUGCAUCCGAUACUGGUUGGCUUGAAUUCGGGAGAGGGAUGCGGAAUUCCAGGUGUAGCGGUGAAAUGCGUAGAUAUCUGGAGGAACACCGGUGGCGAAAGCGACUCUCUGGACGGCAACUGACGCUGAGGCACGAAAGCGUGGGGAGCAAACAGG
rnacentral:rRNA from 1 species